ACCUCAUGGUGACUUUCCCCAAAAUCAAGAAGUUUCAAAACAACAAGGCAAGCUUUCCACUCUUUGACGCUUUGGGAGAACUCUAUGAUGGUCAUCUGGCUGAAGGGACAAACAAUUUCACUUCUAUUGAG